rnacentral:rRNA from 1 species
UACGAAGGGGGCUAGCGUUGUUCGGAAUUACUGGGCGUAAAGCGCGCGCAGGCGGCCUUUCAAGUCAGGGGUGAAAGCCCGGAGCUCAACUCCGGAAUUGCCUUUGAAACUGUCAGGCUCGAGUACGGGAGAGGUGAGUGGAAUUCCCAGUGUAGAGGUGAAAUUCGUAGAUAUUGGGAAGAACACCGGUGGCGAAGGCGGCUCACUGGCCCGUUUCUGACGCUCAGGCGCGACAGCGUGGGGGUCAAACAGG